CGUGUAGGCGGUAAUGUAAGUCAGACGUGAAAUCCUUUGGCUCAACCGAAGAACUGCGUCUGAAACUGCAUGACUAGAGUGCAGAAGAGGGAAACGGAAUUCCCGGUGUAGAGGUGAAAUUCGUAGAUAUCGGGAGGAACACCGGUGGCGAAGGCGGUUUCCUGGUCUGACACUGACGCUGAGGCGCGAAAGCGUGGGGAGCAAACAGGAUUAGAUACCCUGGUAGUCCACGCCGUAAACGGUGGGUACUGGGUGUGGGAGGUGUAAUGCCUUCUGUGCCGAAGCUAACGCGUUAAGUACCCCGCCUGGGGAGUACGGCCGCAAGGUUGAA
rnacentral:rRNA from 1 species